AGCAGCCGCGGUAAUUCCAGCUCCAAUAGCGUAUAUUAAAGUUGCUGCAGUUAAAAAGCUCGUAGUUGAAUUUCGGGAUCGAUAUAUCGGUCGUGCCUCGGUACGUACUGAUAUUUUCGGUUUCUACCUUCUGACGAACCUUGAUGUCAUUAAUUUGGUGUCUUGGGGAAUCAGGACUGUUACUUUGAAAAAAUUAGAGUGUUUAAAGCAGGCUCACGCUUGAAUACAUUAGCAUGGAAUAAUGAAAUAGGACGUUUGAUUCUAUUUUGUUGGUUUCUAGGAUCGACGUAAUGAUUAAUAGGGAUAGUUGGGGGCAUUAGUAUUCAAUUGUCAGAGGUGAAAUUCUUGGAUUUAUUGAAGACUAACUACUGCGAAAGCAUUUGCCAAGGAUGUUUUCAUUAAUCAAGAACGAAAGUUAGGGGAUCGAAGACGAUCAGAUACCGUCGUAGU
rnacentral:rRNA from 1 species